UCCUACGGGACGCAGCAGUAGGGAAUAUUGCUCAAUGGGGGAAACCCUGAAGCAGCAACGCCGCGUGGAGGAUGAAGGCUUUCGGGUUGUAAACUUCUUUUGUCAGGGACGAAGCAAGUGACGGUACCUGACGAAUAAGCCACGGCUAACUACGUGCCAGCAGCCGCGGUAAUACGUAGGUGGCAAGCGUUAUCCGGAUUUACUGGGUGUAAAGGGCGUGUAGGCGGGACUGCAAGUCAGAUGUGAAAACCACGGGCUCAACCUGUGGCCUGCAUUUGAAACUGUAGUUCUUGAGUACUGGAGAG
rnacentral:rRNA from 1 species